rnacentral:rRNA from 1 species
GAUGAACGCUAGCGGCAGGCUUAACACAUGCAAGUCGAGGGGUAUUGGUUUUCGGACCAAGAGACCGGCGCACGGGUGCGUAACGCGUAUGCAAUCUACCUUUUGCAGAGGGAUAGCCCCAGAGAAAUUUGGAUUAAUACCUCAUAGUAUAGUACUUUGGCAUCAAGGAACUAUUAAAGUCACAACGGCAAAAGAUGAGCAUGCGUCCCAUUAGCUAGUUGGUAAGGUAACGGCUUACCAAGGCUACGAUGGGUAGGGGUCCUGAGAGGGAGAUCCCCCACACUGGUACUGAGACACGGACCAGACUCCUACGGGAGGCAGCAGUGAGGAAUAUUGGACAAUGGGCGCAAGCCUGAUCCAGCCAUGCCGCGUGCAGGAUGACGGUCCUAUGGAUUGUAAACUGCUUUUAUACAGGAAGAAACACUCCGACGUGGUCGGAGCUUGACGGUACUGUAAGAAUAAGGAUCGG